UACGGAGGGUGCAAGCGUUAAUCGGAAUUACUGGGCGUAAAGCGCACGUAGGUGGUUUGUUAAGCCAGCUGUGAAAUCCCCGGGCUCAACCUGGGCACUGCAGUUGGAACUGGCAAGCUAGAGUAGGGUAGAGGGGUGUGGAAUUCCAGGUGUAGCGGUGAAAUGCGUAGAUAUCUGGAGGAACAUCAGUGGCGAAGGCGACACCCUGGACUAAUACUGACACUGAGGUGCGAAAGCGUGGGGAGCAAACAGG
rnacentral:rRNA from 1 species